UGGAAGAGUAUUUACUAUUGGCGCUGGGGGAACUCGCAAUGAUGGCAAUGUUGAGACCGGUAUGUCUUCUUUGAAUGAUCUUUUUCUGCUUCUGUUUUAUUUGACUCUUGUUUCGAUUUGAGUUAUGUGUCUCUGGGGUUCAAUCGUUAGCUAGGACUGACUCCCACCUCUCUUGUAAAAUAAGCAUGUAGUAGAGUUAACUGCUAGUAAAUCGAUAGAAGCUUCUCAUGUUCUUUUUGGUUGUAAACUUGAUAUCAUGGGUCAAGUGUUCGACCUUGACCUACCACCCGAUACUCUUGUAAGUUUUGACGUGGUCGUUGACACGGAUUUGGGUAUCUAUGCAUCAAGCGGAAAUUCUCUGUAAAGAGAAAAUCGUGCGUAUCCCUCUCCUCAGUGGGGAAUCCUUAUCAGUUCAAGAUCAUCGUAGUGGUGCCAUUGUUGGCAUCGUCUCAGUCAUGAAAGCCCAGAAGUGUCUACGGAAGGGCUACUCUGCUAUGCUAGCUCUUGUCACCGAUUCGCCACUUUAAGAAAGGAAGAUCGAGUAUCUUCCAGUUAUUUGUGAAUUUUCUGACGUGUCUUCGGAAGAGUUACCUGGUUUACUUCCACAUCGUUAGGUGGAAUUUCAGAUUGAACUUAUGCAAAUCCUGAUUUCCUUCUGGGAUACAGCAAUCCCUCGGGUUCGCUGGAUACUAUCACGGAUUCAUCAUGGGAUUUUCGAAGAUUGCGUAACUACAACCUCCUUAGCACAGCUGGGAGCUGUCAAUCCUUGGGAAACAAAGUCGCGGAACGUCUUUUCAGCUUUUGAAACCCAACUCUGCAACGCACUGAGCAUUACUCCUAUCUGAGGGUACUGAUGGUCUGGCGGUAUACCAUGAUGGUUCGAAUCAGAGUCCCGGUUACGCACCGAUACAACAUGAGAAGGCGACGGCUUACGUGGUGGGCAUACAGGAAGGACUACACGAGUCACGACCUGCGGUGGAAGCCAUAGUCUUUGGAUUUAAAUUGGAGGCAUUACUUGGACGGUACCGAAUGCACCACUCAGACCGAUCACAAGGGCCUCCCGUGUAUUCUUGUUUCAAGAGAGCUAAACAUGUGAUGGCAACGCUGGAUGGAACUUUUGAAUGAAUAUGACCGUGAAACCGGGAUGUGCACGAGCUUUGCAGCUUGCUAUUGACUCUAACUUACCUGAUCAGGCUCACUCUGUUCCAACUGGAGAACUGAAGGAAGAGAAUUCUCAAGAUUAACCCAUGCGGGGCAGGGAGAAGCAACCUCUGGCACAUCAGACGAUAUUUGCUACUUCAUGGAACGAAUAUGGACCUUACGAUACAGCAACCUUAGGGAAAUGGUGCAGGCGAAGCACAUGGGCCUCGAUAUCCUAUUCACCUGAGUUUUGAUAGGAUGCAUUGAAACCUGAAGACCAUAUGUGGGUGACCGGGCCUGAAGGCCCAGAUAGCCACGCAUGGGAACGAAGUUUGACAUGUGGGAAAGUCAAGGUAGGGUAUUAGCAACCAGAAACACAUAUAUGGAAAUGAGAACCUAAUCACAGAUCCAGGAUUUAUACUUGAACCCCUUGGGAAGCUGUUAAGCUUAGGAAAUAAUGGAAAUUCGCGGUGGGAGAACGCAUCAUAAUCAAAAGUCUCACCCUGGGAGGGUGCGGUACGCUAUGGGAAAUGUGGCCAGCUUAGAUGCGGUACACUGGGACAUUUGGAUUCUAAAACGGAUUGAUGAUAUGGCUCACGAACUCAAGUUACUUGACGAAUUAGGUAACGCACACGAUGUCGGUUAUGUCUUGAACCUAAAGAAGCGUCUGUUCGAUGCAACACUUGUGAUACCCUUGUUGAGAAACCCACGGUAAACACAGUCGAAUUUCAAUCAUGAGAGAUCGUUGGAACUCAAGACGUGGACUGAAGUUCCUGUGAGAACGCAAUGAUCAGGUGAAGCUCUGUUAUCUCCGAUUGUUCAAACGGUGGGACUAACUUUCGAUAUCAUUGGCGAAUUUCGGGACGAAAUUCCUUUCAAGUUGGGGAUGAUGUGGCACCCAACUGAUCUCGCAAUCCUGUUUUACAAUUUGGUUAACGUGGUGUCUGUGCAAUUAUCUGGAUGCUUAGUGAUUGCGCAUAAUGUUUGAUUAUUAUUUGUGAUUAUUAUUUGUGUAGUAUUGCAUAUAGUUUAAUUAGAGUUUCUAUCGCUUCACUCUUCUGUGCUUACUUGUCAAAUUUCGGGACGAAAUUUCUUUCAAGUUGGGGAUGAUGUGACAACCCGAACUCUCAAUGUUUGUAACGGUUAAUCAGGUGAUCUUUACUAUUCGUUUCUUUGGUAAAUCUGUUAAGCGUGUGUGUUAUUUUGCUAAAUUAACAUAUUAACACCUUUGGGCCGCAAGUUUUUGGGUCACGCACUAACCCUUGGGCCGUCAAAUGCAAUCCGGACCGAAGCCCAAUAGCACCGUAAUCCAAGUGGGCUCGGCCCACUUAUUCAGACUAGAAUUACAUGGAUGGACCUUCCUAUGUAUUUUCUAUGUUAUGAACUAUACUUGAAGCUAAUACUUCUCGGCCCACUUGUUUCAAUUGGAUCUUGGCCCAACUAGUAUACCUAAUAUGAGAACUAGGUGGCUUAUGUUAAUUAGUUCUAUAUAUACAUCAUGUUUGUAUAUCACAAGUUACAACAUAACAAAACCCUAAUCCCCCCCCCGACUCGCGAACAGUAGAAGACCCCCACCCCCCCUUUGAAGAUUAUUGUGCUUGUACAUCUCGUUUCGCUCUUCGGUUAGUAUUACUAUCAUUCGUUUUAAUUCUAUGGGAUUGUGUUAAAUUGUAUGCAUGAAUCUUUUGAUGCUAAAUGUAAACUUGAAUAUGAUUAAUGGUUGUCCGUCUAAUAUGAUGUAUGGAAACAUGAGUUUAUGAUAAAUUGGAUAGGACGACUUAGACGUAGGAUUGAUUUAGGGCUUCUUGUAACGACUAGAUUGUAAUCUGAUUAAUAUGCAGUAGUAACAUGUAAAGUGAUAUGGCGUGAUAGUUGAUUUAUGAUUACAUGUUUGAAACCCUACGACUUGUGUGUUACUAGAGGAUUGUCACGGUACGAAAACGUGAGUCGGUUUGACUGGAAUGAAAAUCAAUGAAGUAAUGUAAUAUCCUGCAUGAAAGAAACAACUUGUUGACGAGUAAUAAAUGAGCCGCACGCUGUGUAUUUGAAAUAGGGCUACACCUUGAGUUGGAACACAUCGAGCCUGCUUUUGUAUGUUAGUAAUGUUUAUGCUAUAGUGAUAAUAAACGAUUAAUACGGAUAUAUUAUUUGCAUGAUGAUUGUGCUUAGUCAAUUGAAUUUGCAAAUUCCCAAGACCCAUGUUGUUAUGUCACUAGUUAUUAGAGGUCCAAUAGUAAUGAAGGAAAAUGAUCUAAUAAUAGUUGCAUAUUUAAUGAUGUUGACUUAAAAAUGGCGGCCCUGUGGUGACCUAAUCAAAUAAUAUAGACUUUUUGAUAAGGAUGUCAGUAAGGAUGUUAGGCAUAUUUAAUGAUGAGAUUGAUUGUUUCUAUAGAAACUAAUAUGUGAGCAUGUAUUGACGUGCAUAGACUGAAGCAUGAUUCUAGGAUUUAUUCAUGAACUGUAUUAGAUUUGGAAAUGUAUUGAUGAAUUGAAUUAUGCUAAGAAUAAGUGGUAUUAUAUAUUGAUCUUGAUCUCAAAAUCGGUUGAAAGAUGGAUUAGGAUUAUAGCACAUCUUAAUGAGUGUCCCUGAUUAAUUAUGUGAUAGUUGUCUGAUGUGGUUAAUAUUGUUGUUAACUGGACUAUGCUUAGUGGGCCGCACAAAAGAAGAGGGGGUAUGGUACGGUUGGGUUGGGUAUAAUCUUGCACAUCCACUUUGUGAUUGUUGAACUAAUAAUACAUAAAUUGGGUUUAGAGGCUAAUGAAUAAACUGUUAACAAUGGGCCGCAUGAAACGGUCCGCGGAAUGGAUCAUACACUCGAGUGGGCUGUAUAUUUCAUUAGACUUGAAUCAUAUGGGCUGCGCAUGUUUAAUGAUUGGGCUUGGAAUGUUUGCGAGUAAACUAUGUAUGUGUGUAUGAAGUGAAAUUGAGCUAUUACGUGUUAUGUUGUUGUUCGGGGACACUAGGUGAGUUGAUUAAUGGUGUCUUGAACUAUAUGAGUACGUUACUUGUACAAUGAGUAUGCUUUAUGGGAACGAUGAAUAUGUGAAUCAACUGCAUAUAUGAUAUGUGGGUCAUGUGCACAUAAAACUAAUUGUUAUCGGUAAUCUUUCUAGGACGUGUUUAUUCAACUAAUAAUCAAAGUACUUAAUCUUACCGAGCAAAUCAAAGGUUGUUAGGUUGUAUGGAUUUGGAACUUGCUGUCUGAAGUAGCUGGAGUGGUCAUGGGUCGUGCUGAUUGGAUACGAAUGAUGGGUUUAUUGAUUUCACACAUUUAAACUGAAACAGUUAAUUAUGUUUUCUUUUAUUUGCUUCCGCUGAACAUGUUGGUUUUCUUUUAGACUUAUUGACAGUACUUUUCAGAAUAAUUGAUGAUUUUAUUCAACAUUA